UGAAUUGUAAUUGGAGUUGAUGCUGGCAGUGGCUGCAUGUGCUCGCUCCUAACAAUCUUCAUCCAAACACCUGUGCACAUUUAGAGAGGGUCUCCGAGUUCUCCUUGGAGUCCCUUCCUCUCAUUAUACACUAGUUUUUAAUAUUGAACGUGAUUGUGCCGUGAGGCCUUAAUAUUAAUACAACUUUUAACAACGGAUCUCUUGGCUCUCGCAUCGAUGAAGAACGCAGCGAAAUGCGAUAAGUAAUGUGAAUUGCAGAAUUCAGUGAAUCAUCGAAUUUUUGAACGCACCUUGCGCUCCCUGGUAUUCCGGGGAGCACGCCUGUUCGAGUGUCGUAAAAUUCUCAAACUGGGAUGCUUUUUUGUUUCUCGGCUUGGUGUUGGGCUUUGCAGUUCCUUUGAUUGGGAUAGCUGGCCUCAAAAGCAUUAGCUGGCUUUUCAUGUGGCAUUGGUUCUACUCAGCGUGAUAAUGAUCUGACCGCCGAGGACAUCUUUCGGGAUGGCCAAUUCUCAUUUGGGCUGCUUCUAAUUUUGGUAGAGCGGAUUCUGAAUCUGUUCCACUUUUCAGCUUUUGACCUCGAAUCAGGUGGGACUACCCGCUGAACUUAA
rnacentral:rRNA from 1 species